rnacentral:rRNA from 1 species
UUGACGGGGCCCGCACAAGCGGUGGAGUAUGUGGUUUAAUUCGAUGCAACGCGAAGAACCUUACCUAGGUUUGACAUCCGGAAGACCUUCCCGAAAAGGAAGGGUGCCCUUCGGGGAAUUCCGAGACAGGUGCUGCAUGGCUGUCGUCAGCUCGUGCCGUGAGGUGUUGGGUUAAGUCCCGCAACGAGCGCAACCCUAUUGCCAGUUGCUACCAGGUAAUGCUGGGCACUCUGGUGAGACUGCCCCGGUUAACGGGGAGGAAGGUGGGGACGACGUCAAGUCAUCAUGGCCCUUACGCCUAGGGCUACACACGUACUACAAUGGCGCAUACAAAGGGCAGCGAUACCGCGAGGUGGAGCCAAUCCCAAAAAGUGCGUCCCAGUCCGGAUUGCAGUCUGCAACUCGACUGCAUGAAGUUGGAAUCGCUAGUAAUUCGAGAUCAGCAUGCUCGGGUGAAUGCGUUCCCGGGCCUU